GACGAACGCUGGCGGCGUGCUUAACACAUGCAAGUCGAACGGAAAGGCUCUGCUUUUGUGGGGUGCUCGAGUGGCGAACGGGUGAGUAACACGUGAGUAACCUGCCCUUGACUUUGGGAUAACUUCAGGAAACUGGGGCUAAUACCGGAUAGGAGCUCCUGCUGCAUGGUGGGGGUUGGAAAGUUUCGGCGGUUGGGGAUGGACUCGCGGCUUAUCAGCUUGUUGGUGGGGUAGUGGCUUACCAAGGCUUUGACGGGUAGCCGGCCUGAGAGGGUGACCGGCCACAUGGGGACUGAGAUACGGCCCAGACUCCUACGGGAGGCAACAGUGGGGAAUAUUGCACAAUGGGUGGAAGCCUGAUGCAGCAACGCCGCGUGCGGGAUGACGGCCUUCGGGUUGUAAACCGCUUUCGCCUGUGACGAAGCGUGAGUGACGGUAAUGGGUAAAGAAGCACCGGCUAACUACGU
rnacentral:rRNA from 1 species